GUGUUUAUCCGCUGGGAGCACCCAAAAGGCUUUUAAGGAGAGAGAGGAAGGAAGCAAGGUCUAGUUUUGUGGGUAGCUUCUUUCUCUUGGCGCUCCGGGAUAUCUCGAAACCCUAACACGAACCCUAGGGUUCGAUCCCAAGAAGCUCGGGAGGCGGCUUCCAUGGAGGUACCCUGCUUCUGUUCGUAAGGUGACACAGGGAUUCUCCCCUCCUUCUUCUCUGUAAGCUGUUCUCCCCGCGUCUCUUUCGUCUUCUUUUCCGGCUAGGAUUUUGAGGAAAUCAGGGUUUCUUGAUCAAUCUCGUUCGUUUCUCAAAAAAGUUUGUUCCUUUCCUUCUUUUCCUGCAUUCUUUUGCGGAUUUGGAAGGGGAACGGAGUGCUGGCAGCGGAUCUCCGGGGACUUUGGGGAGUGGCACUGGGGUUCCGUCUCUAUACCUUUGAAAGGAGGGGUCAUUAGGUUUCCGCCCCCUCUUUCUGCCUUUCUUUAAUUUGGAGUGCUUGCCCUUUUGCUUUAGGACCUAAGGGGUUAAUGGCGUUUAGGCGGAAAAAAGAAUCAAUAGAGCUUAAAUAGCAGAGAUUUACCAAGAAGAGAGGUUAGGGCUAGCCUUAGGGGAUUUUUUUCUUUCCUUUAGGCUCGGAGGUAGUUAUAAAAAAAAAAAGAAAGGCUCCACAUUCUUUAACCUGGGAAGAUCUCUCUAUCUUCAUUUCUCCAUGGAACAUUGCAGAUUUAGGGUUCUUGAGUUUUGGAUUUGAGAAAAAAACGUAACUUUAUGUAGUGGGACAAAGUCUAGAAUUUCAAGGUUAUACCCUUGGGUAAAAUUACAAGAAUUAGGUGUAAUUCUCUUCUUUAUCACGGAUGAUUCCUGGGUUUAGUUAUUGAGUCUAGGAAAAGAAAUCUUAUUUUUGGAAUAAAAUGGAAACUGGACCUUGAGCAGGCGGAGAUCGUUGAGGCAGGUGCGCUUGGUAGAUUCAGAUUUUGGAAGGGAUAUGGCUAUCAAGAAGCAGAAGGAAUUGGAUAUAGAAGAGAAGUCCCCAGAGAAUCGCAUCCUUUCCUUUCCUGAUGAAGUUUUGGAACGUGUUCUGGUCUUUGUGAAGACUCACAAGGAUCGGAGUGCCGUUUCUCUGGUUUGCAGAGACUGGUACAAUGCCGAGCGAUGGAGCCGGACCCAUGUAUUUAUUGGGAACUGCUACUCUGUGUCUCCGGAGAUGGUAGCUCGUAGAUUUCCAAAUAUCCGGAGUGUCACUCUCAAGGGGAAGCCCCGGUUCUCUGAUUUCAACCUUGUUCCACCAAAUUGGGGCUCUGACAUCCAUCCAUGGCUUGUGGUUUUUGCUUCAGCAUAUCCUUUCCUUGAGGAGCUCCGUCUUAAAAGGAUGACAGUUACAGACGAGAGCCUUGAUUUCUUGGCACGAUCUUUUCCUGAAUUUAAAGCUCUUUCCCUUGUCAGUUGUGAUGGCUUCAGCACUGAUGGUCUUGCCUCCAUUACAACCUACUGCAGGAACUUGACGGAGCUUGACAUACAGGAGAGUGGGAUUGAAGACCUUGGUGGCAGCUGGUUAAACUUUCCGGAAAGCUUCACAUCGCUUGAAGCACUUAAUUUUGCAAAUCUGCAUUCUGAAGUAAAUUUUGAUGCCUUGGAGAGACUAGUGGCCAGGUGCAAGUCAUUGAAGGUAUUAAAAGUAAAUAAGCAUGUCAUGUUGGAGCAGUUACGGAGGCUACUUGUGAGAGCUCCUCAACUUACAGAGCUUGGAACUGGUCCAUUUUCACAAGAUCACAAACUCCGAUCACACAUAGAUCUGGAAAGUGCAUUCAGUAACUGCAAGAACUUGAAUACUCUCUCAGGCUUAUGGGAAGUUUCCUCCAUGUAUCUUCCAGCAUUAUUUCCUGCAUGCACAAAUUUGACUUUCCUGAAUUUGAGCUACACAGCUCUGCAAAGUGCAGAACUGGCAAAGCUUUUGCAAAAGUGUCCUCUUCUUCGCCGACUUUGGGUUCUAGAUACUGUAGAAGACAAAGGGUUAGAAGCUGUGGCAUCAAGCUGUCAUCUGCUACAAGAACUCCGAGUGUUUCCAGCAGACCCAUUUGAGCAGGAAGUGAUCAUGGAAGGUGGUGGCAAUGGUGUCACUGAAUCUGGAUUUGUUGCUGUUUCAGAGGGCUGCCCCAAUCUUCACUAUGUUCUUUACUUCUGUCAUCAGAUGACGAAUGCUGCAGUGGCAACUGUGGUGCGCAACUGCCCUAACUUCACCCACUUCCGUCUCUGUAUAAUGGACAUGCGCCGGCCUGACUAUUUGACCAAUGAACCCAUGGAUGAAGCCUUCGGUGCUGUUGUAAAGACUUGCAGUAAACUUCGAAGGCUUGCUGUUUCUGGGCUUUUGACUGACCGGGCCUUUGAGUAUAUUGGUACCUAUGCUAAGAACCUUGAGACCCUGUCAGUGGCUUUUGCAGGCAGCAGUGACAGAGGCAUGCAAUGCGUUUUAGAGGGAUGCCCUAAGCUGCGUAAGCUGGAAAUAAGAGACUGUCCUUUUGGGAAUGCAGCAUUGCUUUCAGGGCUUGAGAGGUAUGAAUCCAUGAGGUCACUGUGGAUGUCCGCCUGCAACUUGACAAUGAAUGGAUGUCAACUCCUGGCAAGGAAGAUGCCAAGGUUGAAUGUGGAGGUUAUCAAGGAGGAUGAGAGUGAUGACAUGCAUGCUGAGAAGGUUUACGUAUACCGGUCAGUUGCCGGGCCUAGAAGGGAUGCCCCUCCCUUUGUUCUCACCCUCUGAUGAUCAUCCAAUUAUAGGUUUCGCAGGGGGAGGUCUAUUGCAAAACAGCAAUACAGGAGCCACUCCACCCCCGAAGAGCAAGAUUGCAAGGUGCCUAUGCUGAAGUAGAUGAAACAGCUACGGUGGUGCACUAUGAAACAACUGAAGACAGCCCCCACGAUAUGUUGCCACCCUGGGGCAUACGGCAUGUCAAAUUCCUGCAGUUAUGCAACCCUGACUUGAAAGAUGAAGAUGACCAAAAUAAAGGAUCAGUUUGUGUUAUUCCUUUUUCUCCCUUUUCUUUCCCAGUGGUCAUGAACAUGCACCUUCGGAUGAAAUGAACUAUCUGAGUUAUGAAGCAUCAAACUCUUCGAGCACCUUCCCACUCUUCGAGCACCUUCCCAGCCAAGCGGAACGCCUCUUGCUGCAAGGUCUGCAGCAUGUCAGCCACUCCUAUUGUUGGCUAUCUUUCCAUUAUUGCUUGCUAUGGGCUUGCUGGAAUGUGGGAUAUCGAGCACAGAGAACUCCGAUUCUAAUGCUGAUUUCCUGACAGAAAAUCAUGGAUAGGAGAGUUAAGUGACUACAGUGGGCAAUGGCGGACAGGCAGUGUCAAUUGAAUGAAGUAUGAGGCUUGUGGCUGCAAGCCUAUGUCCUGGGAUAUCCAAGUAUCAGCCGUAUGACAUAUGAUGGCCCACUAGCAUUCUUGGACUGACAGUGGGAACAUCUACUGGUCCUUUGGCAGGUGGACUUGUAUUUGUGGUACUCCCAUGUGAUUUGGGGUGGAUAAGAAUGCGGCGGUUGGGGCAAGUUGGUGCCCAACUCUUCCAGUGCAUUGUUCCCCUUGCCCAGCAGCGGUGCAUCCGUCCUUUGACCUUGUUAUGGGAUAGAGAAAGCUUUGGAGCUAGGUUUGUUGUACUUUGACCAGUUUUUCUUUGGCAAAUCUUACUUGUGGAACAAAUAACAGCUGAUGCAUGAAAAACACUGCUUGUAUUCUGUUCCCGGGUGGGGUAAAUGGAAUCGGUUACUCAGGUUUGCCACCGUUGAAUUGACUCAAGGUGCAACGAUAGCUCUGUUGCUAUUUGAUUUGGAUCUGCAAAGGGCAUCGACAAGUUUGGCUACAGGUCAGAAAAGCUUGGAUAGAAUGGUUCACUGGCUUUUAACCUUAAGUGGUGGAUGACUAGGGCAAGCAUUCUAUUCUUCCACUGCCCAUUGGUUGGUGAAUGGGAGGCUGGAGGAGACUAUCGUUUUCCAAGUGGCAAGACAAAUGUGGAUGAAAGCAGUUGUCGUGGCAAUGUUGAGUACGUAGGCGAGCGCUAAAAAUCUACAACGAAGCUGAAUUCUAUCAGCCAGAAACUUGGGCAAAAACGAGCCACAGGAAAGGAUGCUUCACAGGUUGUGAUAGUGGUGAGGAGCUGGGAAUUUUAAUGGGAGCUUCUACUUAUGGUUCUGGUGCUCGGAGUGUUUCAGAUGGGGCCAUUUAACAUGGCAUAUGAGUCGGUUCAGUGACCUUGUUUUCGUCCUCUCUCUCUCUCUCUUUUCUAGUUGUUUGUGUACUCCAUAUGUGGUUGAAAACUAAAGUUUUUGGAGUGGUGUGGAGCCAUGCAGUGGCAAUUGCUUUAUCGUUUUUUAUUUCUUUCUUGUCUCCGAGACUAGCACCAAAUAGAUCUUUUUAAUCUUUUUUUUUUGUUUUCCAAAUAUUUACUGUCUGAAGAAUCUCUCACUUUUGCGGCAAUUUGGGCAAAUAUUUUGUAUUUUGUGUAAUUGACUGAAAGAGAGCCGGAUUUGAAGU